UUACUUCAUAUAAUCAAACUUAUAUUAUCUUCGGGUCUUCUACGGGCUAUUAUUUGAUCUAUUAUUAGGGUCCAAUAUAGUCUAUUUUUUGUACUACUUUAUUAUAUAUUUGCUGUACUGCUGUUUUACUUUUCCAGGAAUAACGACGCAUUCUUGAAGUAGGCGUACAAAUCACCGAUGAAAGGCAUAUUAUUAUUAUAAAUUAUUAUUACACGCAUUUCCAGCAGAAAUGGUUUAUUGCAACUGCUAACAGAAGAAGUGCACUUUCAUCUAACUGUGUUGUACAAUCGAAGCACGAAGUUUUUACUUUGAUGCACGAAUAUCAGCAGUCUAGUAAUAACGCUCGCUGUCCAGCGACAUCCAUGGGGUGCCAGCAUGGUGCCCCGUAACUCUCCGGCGUUUACAAAAUAUUUAGCCCCUAAUACGGCUCGUCCAGCUACGCGGCGUCCCUGAUAUACGCUAUAGAGAAUCGGUCCAGGGGACAAUUCGUGGAUCGACGGUGAUCCAUAUAUCAGAAAGUCAACGCACUCCGGGUGUGCCAAGCGGCCUGGUGAGCGCGAGGAUGGUCCGUCGACGGCCACCUGAACUGCCGUUUCCACGACGGGGACGCGUAUUUACGGAUCUGGGCACCGAGAGACGGCCUAUUAGGGGCUAAACGAUUUUUAAACGGGGCUGGGAUCGAGUGCCCGAGACGCAACAAUGACGUGGGCAAACAUUCCGAUAUACAGGACCACCCGGAGCGGCUGCAGUCGCUUCUGCAGGCGCGUUGCAUUCGUCGAUGCAGGAAGCCUUGAGGCCGAAAAAGGAAUCAUUGAUAUCUUGAUGUAUGCCAUAGUUUCUGAAGUAUUCUAACAAUUAGGGGUUGAAAGAGAAUGCUGGCAAAGAAGAAGAAGCAGAUUAAUUUUAAUAUAGAAAUAAAAUAAAUUUAUCCAGUAAUCAAGAAGAAAAAGACGAUUGAGAAGAUCAUUCGAUUGAUUACAGGAUGCCUUGUGACCAAAACGAUAUCACUGAUAUUUUGAUGUAUGCCAUAAUUUCUGAAGUAUUUAACAAUUGGGGGUUGAAAGAGGAUGCUGGCAAGGAAGAAGAAAAAGAAGAAGGGGAUUAAUUCUAAUACAGAAGGCAGAAGUAUCGCAGCAGCGAUUCAUGUCAUCCGACAAUGGAUCUCCGGCGACACCGAUGAUCCAGGAAUUACGUUUCUCUCCAUUCUAGGAUUAUCGUCGCGACCAAGGAAAUUUCGUCAAGCCUCCCACGACAUCUCGGAUUCCGACGUCACACGCUUCGCUGAAAUAUCGUUCCUAUACUAUAUUUUUUUCCCGUCGUUUCCUCUUAAUUCCCUGACACGAAAAAAUGGGGCCUCGGUGGGCGGAUGGCCAGUUCUCCGUGGAACAGUGAAUGGAUCCACAAAUCCAUGGAUCCAUUCAACCACGCACCUGACUCCCCGACUUCUUCUUGGUCGUGAGAAACGCUCCAGAGACUUUUCGAGAUCUCUUUCUUCGGGCCCGUUCAUUCAACGCGGGAGAAAAACCAGUCACGGAAAAUUCUCUUCGUUUUUCAUCCCGAGUGUUGCGAGGAUAGAAGAAUAGUGGUCAGUAGGGUUGCCUAAUUGUACAGAAGACCAUUUUCAUCGGGGAUCCUCGUGGCUCCGGAUUCCUUCGCUUCGAUCGUUCUUCGAUUUCCGCGUCUUCUUAAUAAUAAUCGAAAUUUUGUUAAUUUGUAACUGCUUUUAUGUCAUUGUUUAUCGAGCAAGCAGAAGUUCCAGAAGUAUUGUUCGGAAAGUAAUUUGUCGAAGCCGAUGAUUUCUAAAUAUUUAGAGCAAAUUUUAUUCAACGUUGUAUCGAUCCCUUUGUUCUACGACCUUUUUACAUUUUUCUGGCGACUUCGAAAUCCCAAAAAGAAUUAAUAAAUUACGUGAAAAACGAAA